GUGUCAGCAGCCGCGGUAAUACGGAGGGUGCAAGCGUUAAUCGGAAUUACUGGGCGUAAAGCGUGCGUAGGCGGUUCGUUAAGUCUGUUGUGAAAGCCCCGGGCUCAACCUGGGAAUGGCAAUGGAUACUGGCGAGCUAGAGUGUGUCAGAGGAUGGUGGAAUUCCCGGUGUAGCGGUGAAAUGCGUAGAGAUCGGGAGGAACAUCAGUGGCGAAGGCGGCCAUCUGGGACAACACUGACGCUGAGGCACGAAAGCGUGGGGAGCAAACAGGAUUAGAAACCCGCGUAGUCC
rnacentral:rRNA from 1 species